rnacentral:rRNA from 1 species
CCCGCACAAGCGGUGGAGUAUGUGGUUUAAUUCGAUGCAACGCGAAGAACCUUUACCUGGUCUUGACAUCCCAGAAAUCCCUUGGAAACUUGGGAGUGCUUCCAUUAGGAAGAAUCUGGAGACAGGUGCUGCAUGGCUGUCGUCAGCUCGUGUCGUGAGAUGUUGGGUUAAGUCCCGCAACGAGCGCAACCCUUGCCUUUAGUUGCCAGCAGUUCGGCUGGGCACUCUAAAGGGACUGCCGGUGUUAAACCGGAGGAAGGUGGGAUGACGUCAAGUCCUCAUGGCCUUUAUGACCAGGGCUACACACGUACUACAAUGGCCGAUACAAAGGGCAGCGACAUUGCGAAAUGAAGCCAAUCCCAUAAAUUCGGUCUCAGUCCGGAUUGGAGUCUGCAACUCGACUCCAUGAAGUUGGAAUCGCUAGUAAUCGUGGAUCAGCAUGCCACGGUGAAUACGUUCCCGGGCCUU